CCCCAGAAAAGGGACAUUCACACAUCUUACUUCCUGUCCCAGCCCCAGAGCCUAAGAAGGAGGGCUUUCUGGGGCUGGCCUGUGUGGCAGACGACAGUUUGUUCUAGAAGAAGGUACCCGAGGGGA
rnacentral:snoRNA from 1 species